rnacentral:rRNA from 1 species
AGAACGCUGGCGGCAGGCUUAACACAUGCAAGUCGAACGCAUCGCAAGAUGAGUGGCAGACGGGUGAGUAACGCGUGGGAACAUACCCUUUCCUGCGGAAUAGCUCCGGGAAACUGGAAUUAAUACCGCAUACGCCCUACGGGGGAAAGAUUUAUCGGGGAAGGAUUGGCCCGCGUUGGAUUAGCUAGUUGGUGGGGUAAAGGCCUACCAAGGCGACGAUCCAUAGCUGGUCUGAGAGGAUGAUCAGCCACAUUGGGACUGAGACACGGCCCAAACUCCUACGGGAGGCAGCAGUGGGGAAUAUUGGACAAUGGGCGCAAGCCUGAUCCAGCCAUGCCGCGUGAGUGAUGAAGGCCUUAGGGUUGUAAAGCUCUUUCACCGAUGAAGAUAAUGACGGUAGUCGGAGAAGAAGCCCCGGCUAACUUCGUGCCAGCAGCCGCGGUAAUACGAAGGGGGCUAGCGUUGUUCGGAAUUACUGGGCGUAAAGCGCACGUAGGCGGAUAUUUAAGUCAGGGGUGAAAUCCCGCAGCUCAACUGCGGAACUGCCUUUGAUACUGGGUAUCUUGAGUAUGGAAGAAGUAAGUGGAAUUCCGAGUGUAGAG